UACGUAGGGAGCGAGCGUUGUCCGGAAUUACUGGGCGUAAAGGGCGCGUAGGCGGGAUUUUAAGUCAGGUGUGAAAACUCCGGGCUCAACUUGGAGACGGCACUUGAGACUGGGAUUCUUGAGGACAGGAGAGGAAAGUGGAAUUCCUAGUGUAGCGGUGAAAUGCGUAGAUAUUAGGAGGAACACCAGUGGCGAAGGCGACUUUCUGGACUGUAACUGACGCUGAGGCGCGAAAGCGUGGGGAGUGAACGGGAUUAGAUACCCCCGUAGUCC
rnacentral:rRNA from 1 species